CACUCCUACGGGAGGCAGCAGUGGGGAAUUUUGGACAAUGGGCGAAAGCCUGAUCCAGCAAUGCCGCGUGAGUGAAGAAGGCCUUCGGGUUGUAAAGCUCUUUUGUCAGGGAAGAAACGGUGAGAGCUAAUAUCUUUUGCUAAUGACGGUACCUGAAGAAUAAGCACCGGCUAACUACGUGCCAGCAGCCGCGGUAAUACGUAGGGUGCAAGCGUUAAUCGGAAUUACUGGGCGUAAAGCGUGCGCAGGCGGUUUUGUAAGUCUGAUGUGAAAUCCCCGGGCUCAACCUGGGAAUUGCAUUGGAGACUGCAAGGCUAGAAUCUGGCAGAGGGGGGUAGAAUUCCACGUGUAGCAGUGAAAUGCGUAGAUAUGUGGAGGAACACCGAUGGCGAAGGCAGCCCCCUGGGUCAAGAUUGACGCUCAUGCACGAAAGCGUGGGGAGCAAACAGGAUUAGAAACCCUUGUAGUCCCAUGAU
rnacentral:rRNA from 1 species